ensembl:snRNA U6 U6 spliceosomal RNA
UUCCUUUGGCAAUAAAUAUACUAAAACUGGAAUGAUACAGAGAAGAUUUAGCAUGGUCCCUGUGCAAGGAUGACAUGCAAAUUCACGAAGAUAUGUGCCACCAC